rnacentral:rRNA from 1 species
GACAGAGCGCACGGGCGUUAUUCGUUUUGAUUGGGUGUAAAGGGUACGCAGGUUGCUAUUGUCAUUUUCGGUCUAAAGCGCGGAGCGUUCCUACGCGUCGACCUUUUAAAAAGAUAGCUUGAAUUGAAGAGAGGUUGGGGUAAUUUGUGAUGUAGGGGUAAAAUCCUGCCAUAUUAGAAGGAACACCAGUCGGCGGAGGCGCCUUUCUAGCUUCAAUUGACACUAAGGUACGGAAGCCCGGGGAGCAAACAGA